UACGUAGGGGGGCAAGCGUUGUCCGGAUUCAUUGGGCGUAAAGAGCGUGUAGGCGGCCAGGUAGGUCGGUUGUGAAAACUGGAGGCUCAACCUUCAGAGGUCGACCGAAACCAUCUGGCUAGAGUCCGGGAGAGGAGAGUGGAAUUCCUGGUGUAGCGGUGAAAUGCGUAGAUAUCAGGAGGAACACCGAUGGCGAAGGCAGGUCUCUGGGCAUUAACUGACGCUGAGGAGCGAAAGCAUGGGGAGCGAACAGG
rnacentral:rRNA from 1 species